GUUUUGAUAGCUUAAUAUAAAGCCCCGACCUUGUAAGCCGGAGAUUGUAGCUUAAACUCUACUCAAAACU
rnacentral:tRNA from 1 species